ensembl:snRNA U6 U6 spliceosomal RNA
GUGCUCACUUUGGCAGCACAUAUACUAAAAUUGGAACAAUAUAGAGAGGAUUAGCAUGGCCCCUGGGCAAGGGUGACAUGCAGAUUUAUGAGUGUUCCAUACUUUU